rnacentral:rRNA from 1 species
CCUACGGGAGACAGCAGUGAGGAAUAUUGGUCAAUGGACGAGAGUCUGAACCAGCCAAGUAGCGUGAAGGAUGACUGCCCUAUGGGUUGUAAACUUCUUUUAUAAAGGAAUAAAACGAGGCACGUGUGCCUUUUUGCAUGUACUUUAUGAAUAAGGAUCGGCUAACUCCGUGCCAGCAGCCGCGGUAAUACGGAGGGUCCGAGCGUUAUCCGGAUUUAUUGGGUUUAAAGGGAGCGUAGAUGGGUUGUUAAGUCAGUUGUGAAAGUGUGCGGCUCAACCGUAAAAUUGCAAUUGAUACUGGCAGUCGUGAGUACAGUUGAGGUAGGCGGAAUUCGUGGUGUAGCGGUGAAAUGCUUAGAUAUCACGAAGAACCCCGAUUGCGAAGGCAGCUUACUAAACUGUGACUGACAUUGAGGCUCGAAAGUGUGGGUAUCAAACAGGAUUAGAUACCCUUGUAGUC